rnacentral:rRNA from 1 species
UUUUUAAUAUAUUUUUGCUCCACGCGAGAAACAUGCGUACGUGCACGGAAUAUAUUAAGCACGGUUCCUUAUUUUCAACGUUUUUGGUAAGUUUUAGCUUGCGGGUCAUUAUCCACGCGUGUCGGGGUGGCGCUGGGGUGGAAAAGUGCUCGGGUUCUGAAAGGGCUUGAAACCGCGGUAAAACUCUAGUUGGUGCGGUAGAGAGAGACGGGAGGAGAUCGUUGUAAACACGUGUACGUUGUUGAGCGGGAGAGUAAGUGGUACAGUGCAGUAUUCGUUAUUAGGCAACGUGGGCAAAGAGUGCUCGAUCGUGUUUGUGGUGGAGCCGGGAGGGGCGAGCAUUCUGGGCGAACACGGGGGUAACAUGUCGGAUGCCGAUCAUACCAGCACUAAAGCACCGGAUCCCAUCAGAACUCUGAAGUUAAGCUUGCUUGGGCGAGAGUAGUACUCGGAUGGGUGACCUCCUGGGAAGUCCUCGUGUUGCAUUCCC